rnacentral:rRNA from 1 species
GGAAACCUUGUUACGACUUCACCUUCCUCUAAAUGAUAAGGUUUAGACAAGUUCUCACAGCCAACUCCCAAUAAAGUGAACUGGCCACAAUCCCGAGGCUUCACCGGACCAUUCAAUCGGUAGGUGCGAC